rnacentral:rRNA from 1 species
UACGUAGGGGGCAAGCGUUGUCCGGAUUUAUUGGGCGUAAAGCGCGUGUAGGCGGCCAGGUAGGUCCGCUGUGAAAACCCGAGGCUCAACCUCGGGACGUCGGCGGAAACCAUUUGGCUAGAGUCCGGAAGAGGAGAGUGGAAUUCCCGGUGUAGCGGUGAAAUGCGCAGAUAUCGGGAAGAACACCCGUGGCGAAGGCGGCUCUCUGGGACGGUACUGACGCUGAGACGCGAAAGCAUGGGGAGCGAACAGG